CCCCAAACAUCUUCCUUGGAAUCACUUAUGAGCACAAGGAUUUUCCAGGAAAACCUUAGUGAAGACUCUGCAACUCAGAAGAACUAAAUCGAUGUCUAAAUUCAAUCCAACCUCAGGUCACCAGGCAAUAGUGUUUAUUAUAUUCUGGAACUUAAUGCACUGACUCGAAAACUCAUUUGAAGGAACAGCCAGGGAUUUUCAAGUGCUUAGCCAAUUUAGGCUUUUCUAGUGCUCAGAAUACUUUCAAGAUCAAGGAACAAAACAUCGUGUUACUGGUACACCAGACAAAGCAGAACUGAGUUUGCAGUUAGAGCCAAAGGAACACACAGGUUUCUGCAGAAUUACGAUGGGACUUCAAAGCAGGGGCAAGGUUAGGAUUAUUUUAGAAAUGGUGUCAGAUAACUCUCUGAGUUAAAAUGAGUGUCCAUUGGAAACUAAUGCAAUGCUGUUACGCUAACUGGAAUUAAACUAAAAAAGUUAAACCAUGAAAUGGGUAUCCAGUGUGUGCAUCAAGGAUUUAAAUGCAAGACAAUGCAAUUACAACAAUUAAAGAAUUAGUGAAUUAAAAAAACAAUAUUAAGUGGCAAAGUCAAAGAGUGACAGAAACUCGGAAGCAAUGGGCAAAAAAAGCCUGAUUCAACAACAACAACAACAAAUUUUUUUUUUAAUUACACCAAUGCUUAAAAGCUUACAAAUCACUGCAAGCCCACUUGUAGGGAUCUAGGCCAAGGAGAGGAUGAUGAAGGAGCCUAGAUUUGGAUCCAAGGAUAGUCACAGUGGUUACAAUGUAGUUUUAUUGGGAGCCGUGGGGAACUGGUUAAAAUAUUAAGUGGUAAGGGCCAAAGUUUCUGGAGCUCCGUGUGCACUUCGUUGGGUGAAGUCACUGGCAGGUUAAUCGGGGGAUGGUUGGUGGGGGAGGUUGGGCGGGGCAGGAGAGCAGACAGAACCACCCACGCCCAUCCCCCUGAGACUCAAGAGCACCUUUGAAACCGCCAGGUGCACUACUAGGUAGGCCUCAUUUGGGCCCGGAUGGAGGCGGUGCCUGAAGGGGCUGGGCCAGCAGGGUUGAACUAGAAAUGAGGGUGGGGGCUGGUCGGGGCCAGCCUUGCUGACUGUGGGAGCAUCCCGCAAGGAGGCCAGGCUAGUCCUACUGCCCCUCGGUGACCGCGGUGAGGUACAGGUACAGGGCCAGUCCCGGGAAAGGCUGGCCCUUUCAGAGAGGAGCUUUGCCCCUCUGACCCCGCGGAUGUCAGUGCUCAGGCGCUGCGGGGCUGGAAGAGGAACCCUAGGCUACAGGGCAUGAAAGAAGGCAACUAAACCCCCACAGAUCAGACUAAUGCUUCAGGAGGCAGGAACGAAGAGGAACUUCAGCGGGGGGCUGGAUUGCAGGCACUGUCGCUGAAGGGGAAAAGGGGUCUUGGAGCCAUUUUUCAAGACCAGGUGGUGAAUACCCGACAGUACUUGGAACAUGUGAAAGACUCCACAACAGGAAUGCAAGGUAGAGUGGUGAAGCUAUUCACCAACCAUUUCCGAGUGACCUCUCGCCCUGAACUCCUCACGUAUAAGUACAACAUUGAUUACAUGCCAGAGGUUGAAGAUGGAAAAGUUCGUACAGAUUUGCUCUGCCAGCAUAAACAUGUAAUUGGAGAGUGUCCCACAUUUGAUGGGAACUCUUUAUUACUGCCUCAUAAACUACAAAAGCAGGUGUAUCUCCGUGUUUGUUAGUAAAUCUUAAUAAUAUUCACUGCCGUUGCCAUGAAAUCCAUUCUUCCAAUUUCUAGAAUUUUGAAGAUGAGGGAUUUGAAGCAAGUUGGUCACAACUAUUACAACGAGAGUGAGGCCAUGGAGUUCCUCAAUCACCAGAUAUCUUAAGCUGAAGAGCGUGGAUGUAAAGCUGCUUGGCCAGCAUCAUCUUAGGAGUCCUCAACUUUAUUCUUGCUUCCCAAUUUCAAAAUUUACGACAAAGCUCUAGGAAUCAGGACAGUGGGAUACUGCAAGAGUUUCAAGACCGCUUUCUUGGGGAAGGAAUACUCGUUUCCUCAAAUAUUGCUGGGACCACUGGAUAUCCACCUGGCCGUUCCUCACAGAAGAUACAAAAUUAACUCCAAUUUAUCCCCCAAAUUAACUAAAAAUAGACCUAAAUGUAUAAAAAUAGAACCUAUCAAGUGGAUACUAUUAAUUGGGAGGAGACUCCCAGAAGUACGUUUAAGAAAUCAGGUGGUGAGGAAAUCACCUUCGUAGACUACUACAAGGAGGUCUAACAGAUAAAAUGCAUAAUGACUACAGACUGAAGAGAGACAUGGCUAUGCAUACAAGGUUGGAUCCAGAAAAAAAGGCAGCAUGAGUUACGAAGAUUCAUGAAUAUUGUACAAAAAAGUAAGAGUGCACAAAAGGAACUCCAACUUUGGGAUUUGAAAUUUGACCCCAACUUCGUGUCCUUCUCAGGAAGAAUUAUGAAAGAAGUAAGAAUUCUUCAAAGAAGCAGAGCGCUCAAGUUUGGAAAUGUGUGAAAAUGUACAAGAAGCACGAGAAUUGAGAAGCACUUGACUUCUGAGGAAAACGUGAUGGCAGUAAGAGAUUUCUACUUUCUAGUCACUGAGUGGCAACAAAAUCAAAGUGAAGAACUUAUCUCCCAGGAUUGGAAUCAAGCACAGCCAAUUUCCAUCCCCUCCUCAACUUGGUACCCCACGGUUCCUCAAAACUAGGGUCUGGGCCCACAUGUUUCAAAUCGCUGAGCUAAUUUCGGUUCCAUGUGGAAUAAAAACACAUGUGGCACCAUUUCUGUCAUCAGGAAAUCUCAGUCCUCCCAGAAUUAAAUUGAAACAUAAUCGGAUGAUGAAAUAGAACUGAGCCCCCUUUGAAAGGAGUUGGAAACCAGAGAAGAAUCUCCUAGAGGAGGAGUCCACUCUUCUGCAACCUCCUUUUUGCUGAUCAUGACUUGGACUGUUGUACGAGAUGUUGAAUUGAGUUUCUCCCAUUGAUUGGUUCAACCUCUCAGCUGCUGCUGUGGGUCUGAGCCACGGCCAGGUUGGAGUGGUUCUGCGAGUUGGGAGGAUCUCUCAGCCUAGACUGGCAGUCGCAGGCAGAAAUAGAAUGGGACCCACCCAUGUCAACUACAGAUUGUCUAGUAGCUCUAUGGUAAAAAGAAACAAGUCAAAAAUCAAAUCAUUGUAAUGGGCAAAAUGGUACCACUUGAACGUGUAUUUGAUUUCAAAAAUACAUUGUUUUUAAAACCUCAACAGGAAAGUUUCUUCUUCUUUUUUUUUUUUUUCUUAUUCUGUCCUCAGAAUCAGUGUGCAUGUCACACUCAGAGCACGGCUCAAUUCAGAGGAGCUGAAUUCCAGGGGCUCGAUUUCCACAGGUGGUUGGUGGCUACAAUAUUGGACACCCCAGGUCUGAUCUAUUGUACCAGCUCAGGUCAAAGCUGAAUGACCAACUGAGACUUUAAUUCUACCUAGCAUCUCAAAUAUGAGAAGAGCAGCACCAAGAGUCACUUAUGUUUAUAUUUGUAGUGCGUGGCAUUUCCUAGUAGAGGGAGGACACGUAGUAGGUAUGUGACACGUCUAUGCAAGCAAAGAGGAUAAAAACCCCACGCAGUCCUGUUCCUUUAGGUCCUUAGGAAACUCAACUAUCAUGCUCAUUUUUCCACAGAGAGUGGGUAUGGCUGAACAUUUUAAAGAAGGAAGGAGAUGUCUCAUCUGCCUCAGUUAUCCUGAAAAACCCAUGUUCCUGGCACAAAAACAGACACAUAGACCAAUGGAAUAGAAUAGAAACCCCAGAACUAGACCCACAAACGUAUGGCCAACUCAUCUUUGACAAAGCAGGAAAGAACAUCCAAUGGAAAAAAGACAGUCUCUUUAACAAAUGGUGCUGGGAGAACUGGACAGCAACAUGCAGAAGGUUGAAACUAGACCACUUCCUCACACCAUUCACAAAAAUAAACUCAAAAUGGAAAAAGGACCUGAAUGUGAGACAGGAAACCAUCAAAAGCCUAGAGGAGAAAGCAGGAAAAGACCUCUCUGACCUCAGCCGUAGCAAUCUCUUACUCGGCACAUCCCCAAAGGCAAGGGAAUUAAAAGCAAAAAUGAAUUACUGAGACCUUAGGAAGAUAAAAAGCUUCUGCACUGCAAAGGAAACAACCAACAAAACUAAAAGGCAACCAACGGAAUGGGAAAAGAUAUUUGCAAAUGACAUAUCAGACAAAGGGCUAGUAUCCAAAAUCUAUAAAGAGCUCACCAAACUCCACACCCGAAAAACAAAUAACCCAGUGAAGAAAUGGGCAGAAAACAUGAAUAGACACUUCUCUAAAGAGGACAUCCGGAUGGCCAAGGGCACAUGAAAAGAUGCUCAACGUCGCUCCUUAUCAGGGAAAUACAAAUCAAAACCAUACUCAGAUAUCACCUCACGCCAGUCAGAGUCGCCAGAAUGAACAAAUCAGGAGGCUAUAGAUGCUGGAGAGGACGUGGAGAAACGGGAACCCUCUUGCACUAUUGGUGGGAAUGCAAAUUGGUGCGGCCACUCUGGAAAACAGUGUGGAGGUUCCCCAGAAAAUUAAAAAUAGACCUACCCUAUGACCCAGCAAUAGCACUGCUAAGAAUUUACCCAAGGGACACAGGAGUACUGAUGCAUAGGGGCACUUGUACCCCAAUCUUUAUAGCAGCACUCUCAACAAUAGCCAAAUUGUGGAAAGAGCCUAAAUGUCCAUCAACUGAUGAAUGGAUAAAGAAAUUGUGGUUUAUAUACACAAUGGAGUACUACGUGGCAAUGAGAAAGAAUGAAACAUGGCCCUUUGUAGCAACGUGGAUGGAACUGGAGAGUGUGAUGCUAAGUGAAAUAAGCCAUACAGAGAAAGACAGAUACCAUAUGUUGUCACUCUUAUGUGGAUCCUGAGACUUAACAGAAACCCAUGGGGGAGGGGAAGGAAAAAAACAAAAAGAGGUUAGAGUGGGAGAGAGAGCCAAAGCAUGAGACUCUUAAAAACUGAGAACAAACUGAGGGUUGAUGGGAGGUGGGAGGGAGGGAAGGGUGGGUGAUGGGUAUUGAGGAGGGCACCUUUUGGGCUGAGCACUGGGUGUUGUAUGGAAACCAUUUUGACAAUAAAUUUCAUAUAUUGAAAAAAUAAAUAAAUAAAUAGUAACAAAAAAUAAUAUUAAAUAAAUAAAUA